CUUAUACUCCCUCCGUUCCAUAGUUCUUGUCUCAAAUUUGCCAAAAAAAAUGGAUGUAUCUAUUCCUAAAAAGUGUCUAGAUACAUGUAAGAUUUCGACAAGAAUUAUGGAACGGAGAAAGUAUAUG
rfam:Brachypodium distachyon strain Bd21 chromosome 2, whole genome shotgun sequence.